UGUCUAAUCUAGUGGCUGGCUCUGUCCUUUUAUCCUUAAGGCAAGUUUUAUUAGGGUACACUAUAUCACCACAGGUGAGCAGAGUAGAACAGUGCUUUCAAUACCACAGGAAGGGUUCGUGGGUGACAUUGGAGACAGUUACUGCUGAGACUCUCAUCUAACUCUCAAAACACUCCUGUGAAGUGCUAUCAUUUCCCAGUGCAGUAGAGAAACCGGAGAAUUGCAGAUUCCUGUGGGGAGCCAGCACAGCUGCCCUCAGGCCCAUGCUAGCCCUUCACUGUCCCUAAGAGUCUUAACUGUCUCCUGGGUGACAGAAACAUUUACUGAUAAUUCAAUUUCUUUGGUCAAAAAGGAUUGGGAGUAACCUUCAUUCAACCUUAAUCAAAUUAUUGAUAAUGUGGCCACAGAAGGACAGCUUUCCACUGCUGUGUAGAGAGUCUUCUAUCCACUCUGAAGGGUCAGCCAAACAGAGGUGCCACAGAGAUGGACACAACCAGACUGGAAGCAGGAAGUCAGAGAAGGGGUGGUGCUUCCACCCAAGGAUCUCCACAGCACCUCCUCCUUUCCUAGGAGCCCAGACAUGAGAAAUGAAGUCUAGUUAAAUCCUGAAUAGUUCAGGGCACAAAGUCAGUGGCCAGAGACCAAUGAAUGUGUUUUUAAGAUACAGUAAAUGGAUAGGUGAAUGUAAAAUGCCUCAGAUAAACAUAGGUUACACAACCUAAAUUUUUGUUCUGUCUGUUUUUAAAUUUGCUUUUGGAGGAAACCAUCAAGAGUAGUACAUGUCAGAAAGUACUUCUGUGCUGGACUUAGUGGCACAGGCCUGUAAUGCCAGCUACUCCUGGAACUGAAGCGGGAAGAUCCUAACCUGUCUGGUCUCCCACAGACAGGUGGACUUCGAAGAAAAAAGCAGAGUGGAGCAAAAACAAUAUCAAUUAUCCCGAUAAUUGUCAUGAGCCAAGGAAAGCCGAUUGCCUUUGCGAUGGCACCACCAGCAGAGGGACCUUUGGGGAAACAGAAAAUCAGCACUUUCUCCAAGUGACUUAUUGUGAGAAAAUGUAAAGAUUUCUGUAUUUGUAGGAGGUUUUAUCUCUCCUGCAUUGAGGUAAAGGUUGUCUUACCAAUAGCAUACCCCAUACAAAAGGCCACAUCUGCAAUGGCAUAUACACUUCCAUAAACAGACACGUGCCGUAGGUCGACCAGGUAACCCAUGAUAGGCAUCAUGGAGGAAUCCACCAUCCCUGUAGAUAGUCAAGGAACAGUGUAUGGAAAAGUGGUAUGAAACAGAAGCAGGUUGAAUGUUGGGGACUGUGUCCUAAACUCAGUCCAUUGCCAGCUCUUCCCCUCUGCCAUUGCCACUUGCUCAUCUGUGACAGACCCCUGACGACAGACCUUUCAUUGUGGAUAGUAAGCAGCAGGGUUCAGAGAGGAGUGGAAUUCAGGAUUCUGAGUCCUUAGUAGGUAAGCAUUUGUAGGCUGUCUGACCUCACCUUAUAAUCUCUUGUAAUGGGCCAUCUUUUGGGUAAGGGGAAGGCACCCAGUCCUCUGGCCACUCACCUAUUACUGUUCUCCAAGUGCAGUAUAUUACAGGCCACUGGAACCUGGCCUAUAGCUGAUGCCUUCCUGAUCCACUAUUCUUCCAAUCACUUUUCCCUUGCCAGUUAGCACACAUACAUAAUCAGUCAACCUCUUUCCCACUUUCCACCCACCUCCAACACCAGGCCUUAGACCAUCAGAGUUACCAAGCUGGAAAGUACUCAAAUACUAGAACUCAGUGGAGGGUGAGAGAGCAUCUCUUCCUGCUCACAAAACUAAAACCUGAAGAGCUUGGCCUUAGUUGGCUAAAACCAACAACAACUGAGACCAGCGUGACAAGCUGUGGCUUCUUGACUAGCAAAGGACAAAGCUCAGGAAUAUCACGUGUGUUCAGAGUUCCAGGUGCAAAUCCUAACUUUGAGCAUGGUCGUACCUAGCUUCAGACCACUGCUUCCCCCUGUCUAAAUGGGGUGCUUUGAAAGUGGUUUUGGUGACUGAGUGUAGUGAACUGAUGCCUGUGAACACAUGCUGAGGGGCUGGCGCACAGCAGCCAGUGGAUGAGAGAAAUGGUUUUUAUUUGUUUAGUAUUUGUGAUCAUCUGAUGUACACAGCCUACUGCAGAGAGAGUGGAGCAAAACCUGAGAGGUGGAUAUUAAGCACAGAGCUAAAGAAUGAAUUUCAGCGGGACUGGUGUGGAGGUCCCUGAGGAGGCAUAAGAUGCCAGGGCCGCCCAACCUCCUCUAGAGGGUCAGAAGAUAUCCCGUUCAUUCUUUCUACUGUACCACUCCAAGACCAAAUUCCUGACACUACUGAGUAACAGAUUUGGCCUUUACUUUUAUCAUGCUAAUCAGUAUUUUAUAAGUGAGAAACAAAAGCAUACCAUUAGUCCAGACUUUCCCUAAUGUUUUAUUUUCCUUUGCCUCUGAAAAUCCCUGCAGUACACAGCAUGGUACCUCACCAGCCUGUAUUUUCUUUACCAAGCCUCAUAAGAAAAGCAAAUGGGAAGUCUGUCCCUAGCCGCAUUUGGGAAGGUUGCUCUUAGAUGUGAACUAAAUUGAAUGUGCUACAGAUGAGGAAGCGUGAGUUUGCUGGAGUACGGCAGUGAAGCACCAGUCUGCUUCUGCCAACACCACCUGACUUUCAACAAGCAUCUUCGUGGAUCUAGACUAUGGGUUGUCUCUGAGCUAAUCUCAUUGCGCCCUCCACUUUAGCUUCAGGAAAUCUGAGCUUUGGUACCUAUCUAUAGGCUGUACACUCCUCAAGAAGAGAAUCUCCGCUAGAGAGAAUGCAGCUCCAAAUUGAGGCACAGGCCCAUGUGACUUACCAAUUGCAAAACCAACUCCAAAGUUGGGAGCGAUGAGUCCAUAGAUAUUUUUUGCAAAAGGAAUCUGUAAGAGGAAGUUAAUAUGCUAAAAUAAAAGAUAUUGACUCUAAUAAAUCAUCUUCAAAAGAAAGCCUAAAAAUAUCUUUUGUCUGGGCCUAAUGGACCUGUUUCCUUUUGAAAGAAACGAGAGCAGAGAAAGGAAGGGGGUUGCCAUCCUAAUCUUUAAAAUCCAAAGCCCAGAUUGAGGGUGUAGUUUAGUGGUAAAGUGUUUGCCUACCAUGUGUGACACCCUGGGUUCAAUCUCCAGUGCAACCAAUCAAUAGAUGUAUGUCAAAGCCUGAAAUGUAAAUUCUGACUACUGUGAAAACUUAAUUACAUGGCUCCUUGGAAAGAUGGCUUCAUCCACUCUCUUGACAAAGAGAAGAUGACCAUAUUUGGGGAGAUAUUGGCCAAUAAAAUAUGUUUAUUCUAGAGUAACAUCUUGCUAUUGUUCAGAGUAGCUGCCAUAAAGUAUUUGAGACACUUGUCAUGUUGAGUGGUUCAUGCCUGUAACCUCGCAGUUGCAAGAGUGAGGCAAAGAGGAUUGUCGUCAGUUCUAGGCUGGCCAGGGUUACAUAAUGAGACCUUAAGAAAACUACAAAAAAAAUCACAAAA